GAUGAACGCUGGCGGCGUGCCUAAUACAUGCAAGUCGAGCGAACAGACGAGGAGCUUGCUCCUCUGACGUUAGCGGCGGACGGGUAAGUAACACGUGGAUAACCUACCUAUAAGACUGGGAUAACUUCGGGAAACCGGAGCUAAUACCGGAUAAUAUAUUGAACCGCAUGGUUCAAUAGUGAAAGACGGUUUUGCUGUCACUUAUAGAUGGAUCCGCGCCGCAUUAGCUAGUUGGUAAGGUAACGGCUUACCAAGGCAACGAUGCGUAGCCGACCUGAGAGGGUGAUCGGCCACACUGGAACUGAGACACGGUCCAGACUCCUACGGGAGGCAGCAGUAGGGAAUCUUCCGCAAUGGGCGAAAGCUUGACGGAGCAACGCCGCGUGAGUGAUGAAGGUCUUCGGAUCGUAAAACUCUGUUAUUAGGGAAGAACAAAUGUGUAAGUAACUAUGCACGUCUUGACGGUACCUAAUCAGAAAGCCACGGCUAACUACGUG
rnacentral:rRNA from 1 species